UACGGAGGGUGCAAGCGUUAUCCGGGUUCACUGGGUUUAAAGGGUGCGUAGGCGGGCAGGUAAGUCCGUGGUGAAAUCUCCAAGCUUAACUUGGAAACUGCCGUGGAUACUAUUUGUCUUGAAUAUAGUGGAGGUGAGCGGAAUAUGUCAUGUAGCGGUGAAAUGCUUAGAUAUGACAUAGAACACCAAUUGCGAAGGCAGCUCGCUACACGAAUAUUGACUCUGAGGCACGAAAGCGUGGGGAGCAAACAGG
rnacentral:rRNA from 1 species